AGCGAACGCUGGCGGCAUGCUUAACACAUGCAAGUCGCACGGAUCUUUCGGGAUCAGUGGCGGACGGGUUAGUAACGCGUCGGGAUCUAUCCAUGGGUGUGGGACACCUCCGGGAAACUGGAGCUAAUACCGCAUGAUACCUGAGGGUCAAACGCGCAAGUCGCCUGUGGAGGAACCGGCGUUCGAUUAGCUAGUUGGUGGGGUAACGGCCUACCACGGCGAGGAUCGAUAGCUGGUUAGAGAGGAUGGUCAGCGACUCCGAGACGAAGACACGGCACAGAAUCCUACGCAAGGCAGCAAUGGGUAACAUAGCAAAAUCGGCGAAGUGCUGAUCGUGCAAGGCCGGGUGUGUGAAGAUGGUCGUCGGAUAGUAAAGCGCAUUCGACGGGGACGAUGAUGACGGUACCCGAAGAAGAAGCCCCGGCUAACUUCGUG
rnacentral:rRNA from 1 species